rnacentral:tRNA from 1 species
GCGAGUUUGGCCGAGUGGUCUAAGGCGCCGUGUUUAGGAAGGGAAGGAGCGACCGUCCGUUCGAUCCGCGGUGGGCAUCGCCCGCGCAGGUUCGAACCCUGCAGCUCGCA